rnacentral:rRNA from 1 species
AACGAACGCUGGCGGCAUGCCUAACACAUGCAAGUCGAACGAGAUCUUCGGGUCUAGUGGCGCACGGGUGCGUAACGCGUGGGAAUCUGCCCUUUGGUUCGGAAUAACAGUUGGAAACGACUGCUAAUACCGGAUGAUGACGAAAGUCCAAAGAUUUAUCGCCAGAGGAUGAGCCCGCGUAGGAUUAGCUAGUUGGUGUGGUAGAGGCGCACCAAGGCGACGAUCCUUAGCUGGUCUGAGAGGAUGAUCAGCCACACUGGGACUGAGACACGGCCCAGACUCCUGCGGGAGGCAGCAGUGGGGAAUAUUGGACAAUGGGCGAAAGCCUGAUCCAGCAAUGCCGCGUGAGUGAUGAAGGCCUUAGGGUUGUAAAGCUCUUUUACCCGGGAUGAUAAUGACAGUACCGGGAGAAUAAGCUCCGGCUAACUCCGUGCCAGCAGCCGCCGUAA